rnacentral:rRNA from 1 species
UAAUACGUAGGGUGCGAGCGUUGUCCGGAAUUACUGGGCGUAAAGAGCUCGUAGGCGGCUUGUCGCGUUGUCCGUGAAAAUUUACAGCUCAACUGUGAACUUGCGGGCGAUACGGGCAGGCUAGAGUACUGCAGGGGAGACUGGAAUUCCUGGUGUAGCGGUGAAAUGCGCAGAUAUCAGGAGGAACACCGGUGGCGAAGGCGGGUCUCUGGGCAGUAACUGACGCUGAGGAGCGAAAGCGUGGGGAGCGAACAGGAUUAGAUACCCUGGUAGUCCACGCCGUAAACGGUGGGCGCUAGGUGUGGGUUUCCUUCCACGGGAUCCGUGCCGUAGCUAACGCAUUAAGCGCCCCGCCUGGGGAGUACGGCCGCAAGGCUA